rnacentral:tRNA from 1 species
GGCUCUGUGGCGGAAUUGGCAGACGCGUACGACUCAAAAUCGUAUGUCCUCACGGGCAUCUCGGUUCGACCCCGAGCAGAGCCA